AGAGUUGAUCCUGGCUUAGAACGAACGCUGGCGGCGCGUCUUAAGCAUGCAAGUCGAACGGCAAGAGGUAGCAAUACCUCCUAGAGUGGCGGACUGGUGAGUAACACGUGGGUGACAUACCCUUCAGAUGGGGAUAGCUAUUAGAAAUAGUAGAUAAUACCGAAUACGAGCACAGGGGUUAGAGAUCUGUGAGGAAAGGAGCUAAGGCUCCGCUGAAGGAAUGGCCUGCGGCCCAUUAGCUAGUUGGUGAGGUAAGAGCCCACCAAGGCGAUGAUGGGUAUCCGGCCUUAGAGGGUGAACGGACACAUUGGGACUGAGAUACGGCCCAGACUCCUACGGGAGGCAGCAGCUAAGAAUAUUCCGCAAUGGACGAAAGUCUGACGGAGCGACGCCGCGUGGAUGAAGAAGGCCGGAAGGUUGUAAAAUCCUUUUGAAACUGAAGAAUAAGCGUUGUAGGGAAUGACAGCGUGGUGACAGUAGGUUUUGAAUAAGCAACGGCUAAUUACGUGCCAGCCGCGGC
rnacentral:rRNA from 1 species